CUGUAGCCGCAAUCUGUGUAUGGUUUGUAGCUUCCACCCCCGACAACACCGUAAAUAAUAAAAAAACUAAAAGGUAAACUUGCUUAUAUUCCUCUGUGAACAUCAUAAAAGAUAAAACAAGUCGUGUGUAGUGUUAGAAACGAAUCAAAAGAGUGUUUUCUUAGACGCAUUGAAGAUCAAAUUGCGCUCAUGUUUGGUCACAUCAAUCCACCAAUGAUCAAUCUCAUGAUCG